UACGUAGGGGGCUAGCGUUGUCCGGAUUUAUUGGGCGUAAAGAGCGUGUAGGCGGCCAGGUAGGUCUGGUGUGAAAACUCGAGGCUUAACCUCGAGAUGUCAUCGGAAACCAUUUGGCUAGAGUCCGGAAGAGGAGGGUGGAAUUCCUGGUGUAGCGGUGAAAUGCGCAGAUAUCAGGAAGAACACCAAUGGCGAAAGCAGCUCUCUGGGACGGUACUGACGCUGAGACGCGAAAGCGUGGGGAGCGAACAGG
rnacentral:rRNA from 1 species